rnacentral:rRNA from 1 species
UGGAGCAACGCCGCGUGAGUGAUGAAGGCCUUCGGGUCGUAAAACUCUGUUGUUAGGGAAGAACCAGUACCGUUCGAAUAGGGCGGUACCUUGACGGUACCUAACCAGAAAGCCACGGCUAACUACGUGCCAGCAGCCGCGGUAAUACGUAGGUGGCAAGCGUUGUCCGGAAUUAUUGGGCGUAAAGCGCGCGCAGGCGGUCCUUUAAGUCUGAUGUGAAAGCCCACGGCUCAACCGUGGAGGGUCAUUGGAAACUGGGGGACUUGAGUGCAGAAGAGAAGAGCGGAAUUCCACGUGUAGCGGUGAAAUGCGUAGAGAUGUGGAGGAACACCAGUGGCGAAGGCGGCUCUUUGGUCUGUAACUGACGCUGAGGCGCGAAAGCGUGGGGAGCAAACAGGAUUAGAUACCCUGGUAGUCCACGCCGUAAACGAUGAGUGCUAAGUGUUAGAGGGUUUCCGCCCUUUAGUGCUGAAGUUAACGCAUUAAGCACUCCGCCUGGGGAGUACGGUCGCAAGACUG